GAUGAACGCUGGCGGCGUGCCUAAUACAUGCAAGUCGAGCGAACAGACGAGGAGCUUGCUCCUCUGACGUUAGCGGCGGACGGGUGAGUAACACGUGGAUAACCUACCUAUAAGACUGGGAUAACUUCGGGAAACCGGAGCUAAUACCGGAUAAUAUAUUGAACCGCAUGGUUCAAUAGUGAAAGACGGUUUUGCUGUCACUUAUAGAUGGAUCCGCGCCGCAUUAGCUAGUUGGUAAGGUAACGGCUUACCAAGGCAACGAUGCGUAGCCGACCUGAGAGGGUGAUCGGCCACACGGGAACUGGAACACGGUCCAGACUCCUACGGGAGGCAGCAGUAGGGAAUCUUCCGCAAUGGGCGAAAGCCUGACGGAGCAACGCCGCGUGAGUGAUGAAGGUCUUCGGAUCGUAAAACUCUGUUAUUAGGGAAGAACAAAUGUGUAAGUAACUAUGCACGUCUUGACGGUACCUAAUCAGAAAGCCACGGCUAACUACGUG
rnacentral:rRNA from 1 species